AUAAAAGACUUUUGGCAGUUUUACUUUCUUGUUUGCAGUCAUAGAUUUUGAUAAAACUGAGCUUCCCAUUGUGAUCGAAAAGGUGGUUCCCUCAACAUCAAAAUAACAGGCUUUUACCCCAUUGUGGGGACACACACACACACAGACAAAUAUAUUAAUAAAUACUCAAGCCAGCCUCCAAACAGACUGCCGUCCACUGAAGUGCAGGGUUCAAAAAUUCAAGGCUGCAGUGCAGUUGAGCAGAACAGACCCUGCUCAACAAACUUUCAGCCAUCUUCAAAGCAAGGUGACUUUCCUGGCUUAAAUGAAGAGCAGUAAACAUCAGCCCUCCCCCUGGAUAAAGAAGCUCCCCAUGGAAGAUGAAAUGAAACCUGUGCUGUUCACAUUCCUGUACUGGUAUUGCGGCACUGGAUCUGGCAGCGCGUUACGCUUGCUGGGAAUUUUCUGGGGGACCCGCUCCAGGCAGGGACACCCGGCUGGGGCCCCCAUCACUCGCCGGUGUCUGCUGGAUUCUGAUUGGCACAGACAUCAGCUCCCUUCCCCGAAACGGCGAGCUGACCCACUGCUGACUGAAUGCGAUCUGGUGCAGGUUUCAGACUCGUGUCAACAGCAUUUUUACUUAGUUCCCCCCCCGUCACCCCCCAUUUUCCUGGCCUUUUCACUUUCAUGGGACCCUCAGAGCUGUUUCCCACACCCACAGGGAAGGACGCGGCCAGGU